rnacentral:rRNA from 1 species
UACGAAGGGGGGCUAGCGUUGCUCGGAAUCACUGGGCGUAAAGGGUGCGUAGGCGGGUCUUUUUAAGUCAGGGGGUGAAAUCCCGGGGGCUCAACCCCGGAACUGCCUUUUGAUACUGGGUAUCUCGAGUCCGGAAGAGGUGAGUGGAAUUCCGAGUGUAGAGGUGAAAUUCGUAGAUAUUCGGAGGAACACCAGUGGCGAAGGCGGCUCACUGGUCCGGUACUGACGCUGAGGAGCGAAAGCGUGGGGAGCGAACAGG